rnacentral:lncRNA from 10 species
AAAAAAGAGAGAAUAGAAUAGAUUGCAUGGUACGAAGGGUAGGUUUUCUUUUAUGAUACUUUUGUUUGCCAUGUAGACAUACAAAUUUUGGUGACUGCUAUGUGAAUGUCUUAGUGUGGGUUAUGGGCUAAGAAGUGUGACAGCCAGCCACUGAGCUGGAGUAAGUUGGGGAGGUGUUUCAGUGAAGUGACUCACACAAGCAAAAUUAUGGAGGAAAACUGUGGGGAGAGUUUUGUGCAGACAGCUGGUACAGACAGUGUGAUGCAGAGUUUAGCAAGAGAUGAGACAAAUAGGUCAUGGAAGCCUUUGGAUAUAGCACUGAGGAAUUUGGGUACUGUGUUGUGAGUAGUUAGGAGGAGCAGUUAAUGCGUAGCGUAAUUAACCUAGUGUUUUAAAUCCCUAUGUCUAGAUGGUGGAGGCUGGAUUUAAGGGAGGUGAUGUGGUCCCAGAAGUGGGCUUUCAUGGGAAAUGUGGCAUUAGGGGAAUAUGAACACUUCCCCUUGGGGAGAGCUUGUGGAAAAGAUAUCCUUAAUUAAGUCAAGAGGGUAGGGAGCAUUUGUUACUUUUAAGU